CAGCUAUGAAUUUUUUUUUUCAGGGUCGUCAGGGGGGUCUAGGCCUACAAGGGUACCCUGGAUUUAUGGGCCCUUCUGGUGAUGUUGGUCUACCUGGACUCAUUGGUACACCUGGACCCAGGGGCUUUCGAGGAGACCCUGGGCCGAAGGGACAAACUUUUUACAAUCAAGUUGACUUCACAGG